UUGAUACAAGGAUGAUGAUUCAAUUAGAUGUGUGAAAAGAGAAAUCUUUUUUGAACACAAUUAUUGAGGCAAACUGUCUGACUUGCAUUUA